rnacentral:lncRNA from 1 species
GCUGACUCUCUUUUCAGACUCAGCCCACUUGCACCCAAGUGAAUUAACAGCCUUGUUGCUCACACAAAGCCUGUUUAGGUGGUCUUCUAUACGGACAUGCUUGACACUUGGUGCCAAAAUCUGGGCCAGGGGGACUCCUUCGUGAGACCGGCCCCCUGUCCUGGCCCUCAUUCCGUGAAGAGAUCCACCUGCGACCUCGGGUCCUCAGACCAGCCCAAGGAACAUCUCACCAAUUUCAAAUCGGAUCUCCUCGGCUUAGUGGCUGAAGACUGAUGCUGCCCGAUCGCCUCAGAAGCCCCUUGGACCAUCACAGAUGCCGAGCUUCGGGUAACUCUUACGGUGGAGGAUUCCCAGCCAUAUGAAGACACCCUAGCUGGACGAUCAGUCCUUGUCAAAAGUCUGACCCCUCAAACUCUACAGCCUCAAUGGACCAGACCCUACCCGGUCAUUUAUAGCACACCAACUGCCGUCCAUCUGCAGGACCCUCUCCAUUGGGUUCACCAUUCCAGAAUAAAGCCAUGCCCAUCAGACAGCCAGCUUGAUCUCUCCUCUUCCUCCUGGAAGCCACAAGAUUAGGCCGAGAGCCGAUCAGACAAACAACCUACAACCCUUAAGCUCCUGGCAGCGCCCAGCCAAGGCCAUGCUUCCUUGCAACACUCCUUCCAAAUGGCCAUCCCAGCAUGCUUCCAAGCAGGCUUCAUCCGUUCCUCUGGACCCUCAUCUCUUAAGACCUGCCGCCUAUAAAAAGGAUUAUAUCUUGAGACCCUAUCCUCUAAAAUUUUUUCCACACCCAAAACAAAAAAUCUCUGGGUCAAAAGUCUAAAACGCUUAGGCUGGCAACCAUCAGAUCCUUGCCCAUGGUGUCCUCAAGCCUACUCUCAUGAAAUGGACAACAGUACACGCAUAUGGGGCCAGUUCCACAUAUUUGGCAACCAGACCAGCAUCCAGGACAACACAAAGAGACAAAGAUUAUUUUCCUUAUUAUCUCUUCUGCAUAGGAUCUGCAAUCAGAACUAUUGAACUUCUCCAUUCAGACCGCCACUCACACCUAUGGGAAAAGGGUAAUGUAUCAUCGGCUUAGCAACAGGGAAUACUAUUCGUAUGAUGGAAAAUGGGGACAAAAGGCUUUGGUACAUAAAACAUUAUUCCUUCCUUGGCCUAAAAACUCAUCGCCACCUACAUUAAAGCUAAUAUGCCUG